rnacentral:rRNA from 1 species
UACAGAACCCGCAAGCAUUAUCCGGAUUUAUUGGGCGUAAAGUGUUCGUAGGCGGUUUUGCAAGUCCGAUAUUAAAUUCCCGGGCUUAACCCGGGAAGUGUGUCGGAAACUGCGGAACUAGAAGGCGCUAGGGGCUGUCGGAACGCACGGUGUAGGGGUGAAAUCCGUUGAUAUCGUGCGGAACACCAAAAGCGAAGGCAGACAGCUGGGGUGACCUUGACGCUGAGGAACGAAAGCGUGGGGAG